GGCGUGAUCGUAUUGUGGUUAGUAGAUUGCGUUGUGGCCGCAGUAACCCAGGUUCGAUUCCUGGUCACGGCA
rnacentral:tRNA from 1 species